AGGAAAAGACCUCUGUUUCUUCCCCACUAGCCUCUAAAAAACAUAAAACAGGAGAGCUGACGUUCCUAACAGAUGGAGACACGUUUGAGCAGGAUUGGUGAACUGGGGGGUGCUUCUAGCUCCCAAAGGCAAUGCUGUUCUGUGCUCUGGAAAUUGUUUGCAUCACACUGGCUCCAGAACCCCCGUGGCAUUCCAGAACGUGGCCAGGAUCACCCAGCUCUUCCCUCCCUCCCUCCCCACACCACACCAGAGCAGGAAGGGGAAGCAGGAGGCUGCAUUUGCAGGCAGGAGCAGCACGGCUCAGACCAGCAGGUAGUACAUCUGACUACGUCCUAGCCAAUGCUGUAAGCCAAAGAUGAGGAACCUAAAGCUCUUCAGAUGUUGCUGGAUUCAGACUCCCACCAUCGCUGACCAUUGGCCAUGCUGGCUUCUGGAAGUUGUAGUUCAACAAUAUCUGGAGGGCACCAGACUCCCCAUCCCUGUCAGAAACUCGGCAUGAGGACCUGAAGCCAGUGUGAAUAGAAAGGGACUGGAAAUUUCAUUCACUGCCACAGGGGGAAGCUCAAGUCUCACAAAGGUCUGGUGUGACUGAGCAGAGAACCAGUUCUAGAGCUUUUCCCCCUAGUCAUCAAAAAUAGUGAUUCCCCCAUGACCCACCCUAAUCCGGCCAGCUACCUUCUUACCUCUUCUACAUGAAUUCAGGGAGAACAUCGCUGGCAGAGCAAAAUGGUCCGCUUCCUGGAAAAACAAGAGGGAGAAGAGAUAGGAGAGAUGAAAUGUAUCAAGGAGAGUCUAGCCAAUUUUAAGCAAAAUAAAAAAAUUCCUUCCAGUA